CACAGUCACAAUGCUGGAGCUGUUGUCAUGGUCGGAGGAUCCCCGGCUGUCAGCAUGCACCAGCAGUAACAUGUCCUCCAGAAGCAGGUAUUUAAAGCAGAGAGCUCCUGACAUGAAAAGAAGGGAUAUUUGUUACUAGUCUUCAGUGCAAAAACAUAUUACAUUGACCAACAAAGGAAUCUUUUAUGAGUUGUCUUCUCUAGACAUCCUUCCCUGAAUGACUACAUGAUCGUUGCUCAGGAUGGAUGCCAAAAAUGAAGUGUAUCAGGAAAUUUGAUUCAUUGUCUGAUUAUAUUAGAGGAGUAACAAGAGAAGAAGUUUGGCCAAGAAAACUAAAAUAAAGGAUAUAAAAAAAAG